rnacentral:rRNA from 1 species
GAUGAACGCUGGCGGCGUGCCUAAUACAUGCAAGUCGAGCGAACGGACGAGAAGCUUGCUUCUCUGAUGUUAGCGGCGGACGGGUGAGUAACACGUGGAUAACCUACCUAUAAGACUGGGAUAACUUCGGGAAACCGGAGCUAAUACCGGAUAAUAUUUUGAACCGCAUGGUUCAAAAGUGAAAGACGGUCUUGCUGUCACUUAUAGAUGGAUCCGCGCUGCAUUAGCUAGUUGGUAAGGUAACGGCUUACCAAGGCAACGAUGCAUAGCCGACCUGAGAGGGUGAUCGGCCACACUGGAACUGAGACACGGUCCAGACUCCUACGGGAGGCAGCAGUAGGGAAUCUUCCGCAAUGGGCGAAAGCCUGACGGAGCAACGCCGCGUGAGUGAUGAAGGUCUUCGGAUCGUAAAACUCUGUUAUUAGGGAAGAACAUAUGUGUAAGUAACUGUGCACAUCUUGACGGUACCUAACCAGAAAGCCACGGCUAACUACGUGCCAGCAGCCGCGGUAAUACGUAGGUGGCAAGCGUUAUCCGGAAUUAUUGGGCGUAAAGCGCGCGUAGGCGGUUUUUUAAGUCUGAUGUGAAAGCCCACGGCUCAACCGUGGAGGGUCAUUGGAAACUGGAAAACUUGAGUGCAGAAGAGGAAAGUGGAAUUCCAUGUGUAGCGGUGAAAUGCGCAGAGAUAUGGAGGAACACCAGUGGCGAAGGCGACUUUCUGGUCUGUAACUGACGCUGAUGUGCGAAAGCGUGGGGAUCAAACAGGAUUAGAUACCCUGGUAGUCCACGCCGUAAACGAUGAGUGCUAAGUGUUAGGGGGUUUCCGCCCCUUAGUGCUGCAGCUAACGCAUUAAGCACUCCGCCUGGGGAGUACGACCGCAAGGUUGAAACUCAAAGGAAUUGACGGGGACCCGCACAAGCGGUGGAGCAUGUGGUUUAAUUCGAAGCAACGCGAAGAACCUUACCAAAUCUUGACAUCCUUUGACAACUCUAGAGAUAGAGCCUUCCCCUUCGGGGGACAAAGUGACAGGUGGUGCAUGGUUGUCGUCAGCUCGUGUCGUGAGAUGUUGGGUUAAGUCCCGCAACGAGCGCAACCCUUAAGCUUAGUUGCCAUCAUUAAGUUGGGCACUCUAAGUUGACUGCCGGUGACAAACCGGAGGAAGGUGGGGAUGACGUCAAAUCAUCAUGCCCCUUAUGAUUUGGGCUACACACGUGCUACAAUGGACAAUACAAAGGGCAGCGAAACCGCGAGGUCAAGCAAAUCCCAUAAAGUUGUUCUCAGUUCGGAUUGUAGUCUGCAACUCGACUACAUGAAGCUGGAAUCGCUAGUAAUCGUAGAUCAGCAUGCUACGGUGAAUACGUUCCCGGGUCU